UCCUGGUGGCGAGUGGCGAACGGGUGAGUAAUGUAUCGGAACGUGCCCAGUCGUGGGGGAUAACGUAGCGAAAGCUACGCUAAUACCGCAUACGAUCUAUGGAUGAAAGCGGGGGAUCGCAAGACCUCGCGCGAUUGGAGCGGCCGAUAUCAGAUUAGGUAGUUGGUGGGGUAAAGGCCCACCAAGCCGACGAUCUGUAGCUGGUCUGAGAGGACGACCAGCCACACUGGGACUGAGACACGGCCCAGACUCCUACGGGAGGCAGCAGUGGGGAAUUUUGGACAAUGGGCGCAAGCCUGAUCCAGCAAUGCCGCGUGCAGGAUGAAGGCCUUCGGGUUGUAAACUGCUUUUGUACGGAACGAAAAGGUCUGCACUAAUACUGUGGGCUCAUGACGGUACCGUAAGAAUAAGCACCGGCUAACUACGUGCCAGCAGCCGCGGUAAUACGUAGGGUGCAAGCGUUAAUCGGAAUUACUGGGCGUAAAGCGUGCGCAGGCGGUCUUGUAAGACAGGUGUGAAAUCCCCGGGCUUAACCUGGGAACCGCACUUGUGACUGCAAGGCUGGAGUACGGCAGAGGGGGAUGGAAUUCCGCGUGUAGCAGUG
rnacentral:rRNA from 1 species